UACGUAGGUGGCGAACGUUAUCCGGAAUUACUGGGCGUAAAGGGUCCGCAGGCGGGUCACCAAGUCCGGCGUGAAAGCUCCCGGCUCAACUGGGAGAGGGCGUUGGAAACUGGUGGUCUUGAAUCUCAGAGAGGUCGGUGGAAUUCCCGGUGUAGUGGUGGAAUGCGUAGAGAUCGGGAGGAACCUCGAAAGCGAAGGCAACCGGCUGGCUGAAGAUUGACGCUGAGGGACGAAAGCGUGGGGAGCGAAC
rnacentral:rRNA from 1 species